rnacentral:rRNA from 1 species
AGUGAACGCUGGCGGUAGGCCUAACACAUGCAAGUCGAACGGCAGCACAGUAAGAGCUUGCUCUUACGGGUGGCGAGUGGCGGACGGGUGAGGAAUACAUCGGAAUCUACUUUUUCGUGGGGGAUAACGUAGGGAAACUUACGCUAAUACCGCAUACGACCUACGGGUGAAAGCAGGGGAUCUUCGGACCUUGCGCGAUUGAAUGAGCCGAUGUCGGAUUAGCUAGUUGGCGGGGUAAAGGCCCACCAAGGCGACGAUCCGUAGCUGGUCUGAGAGGAUGAUCAGCCACACUGGAACUGAGACACGGUCCAGGCUCCUACGGGAGGCAGCAGUCGGGUAUAUUGGACAAUGGGCGCAAGCCUGAUCCAGCCAUCCCGCGUGGGUGAAGAAGGCCUUCGGGUUGUAAAGCCCUUUUGUUGGGAAAGAAAAGCAGCAGGUUAAUACCCCGCUGUUCUGACGGUACCCAAAGAAUAAGCACCGGCUAACUUCGUG